rnacentral:rRNA from 1 species
GUACCGUGAGGGAAAGGCGAAAAGAACCCCGGCGAGGGGAGUGAAAAAGAACCUGAAACCGUGUACGUACAAGCAGUGGGAGCACGCUUAGGCGUGUGACUGCGUACCUUUUGUAUAAUGGGUCAGCGACUUAUAUUCUGUAGCAAGGUUAACCGAAUAGGGGAGCCGAAGGGAAACCGAGUCUUAACUGGGCGUUAAGUUGCAGGGUAUAGACCCGAAACCCGGUGAUCUAGCCAUGGGCAGGUUGAAGGUUGGGUAACACUAACUGGAGGACCGAACCGACUAAUGUUGAAAAAUUAGCGGAUGACUUGUGGCUGGGGGUGAAAGGCCAAUCAAACCGGGAGAUAGCUGGUUCUCCCCGAAAGCUAUUUAGGUAGCGCCUCGUGAAUUCAUCUCCGGGGGUAGAGCACUGUUUCGGCAAGGGGGUCAUCCCGACUUACCAACCCGAUGCAAACUGCGAAUACCGGAGAAUGUUAUCACGGGAGACACACGGCGGGUGCUAACGUCCGUCGUGAAGAGGGAAACAACCCAGACCGCCAGCUAAGGUCCCAAAGUCAUGGUUAAGUGGGAAACGAUGUGGGAAGGCCCAGACAGCCAGGAUGUUGGCUUAGAAGCAGCCAUCAUUUAAAGAAAGCGUAAUAGCUCACUGGUCGAGUCGGCCUGCGCGGAAGAUGUAACGGGGCUAAACCAUGCACCGAAGCUGCGGCAGCGACGCUGAUGCGUUGUUGGGUAGGGGAGCGUUCUGUAAGCCUGCGAAGGUGUGCUGUGAGGCAUGCUGGAGGUAUCAGAAGUGCGAAUGCUGACAUAAGUAACGAUAAAGCGGGUGAAAAGCCCGCUCGCCGGAAGACCAAGGGUUCCUGUCCAACGUUAAUCGGGGCAGGGUGAGUCGACCCCUAAGGCGAGGCCGAAAGGCGUAGUCGAUGGGAAACAGGUUAAUAUUCCUGUACUUGGUGUUACUGCGAAGGGGGGACGGAGAAGGCUAUGUUGGCCGGGCGACGGUUGUCCCGGUUUAAGCGUGUAGGCUGGUUUUCCAGGCAAAUCCGGAAAAUCAAGGCUGAGGCGUGAUGACGAGGCACUGCGGUGCUGAAGCAACAAAUGCCCUGCUUCCAGGAAAAGCCUCUAAGCAUCAGGUAACAUCAAAUCGUACCCCAAACCGACACAGGUGGUCAGGUAGAGAAUACCAAGGCGCUUGAGAGAACUCGGGUGAAGGAACUAGGCAAAAUGGUGCCGUAACUUCGGGAGAAGGCACGCUGAUAUGUAGGUGAAGUCCCUCGCGGAUGGAGCUGAAAUCAGUCGAAGAUACCAGCUGGCUGCAACUGUUUAUUAAAAACACAGCACUGUGCAAACACGAAAGUGGACGUAUACGGUGUGACGCCUGCCCGGUGCCGGAAGGUUAAUUGAUGGGGUUAGCGCAAGCGAAGCUCUUGAUCGAAGCCCCGGUAAACGGCGGCCGUAACUAUAACGGUCCUAAGGUAGCGAAAUUCCUUGUCGGGUAAGUUCCGACCUGCACGAAUGGCGUAAUGAUGGCUAGGCUGUCUCCACCCGAGACUCAGUGAAAUUGAACUCGCUGUGAAGAUGCAGUGUACCCGCGGCAAGACGGAAAGACCCCGUGAACCUUUACUAUAGCUUGACACUGAACAUUGAGCCUUGAUGUGUAGGAUAGGUGGGAGGCUU